rnacentral:rRNA from 1 species
UAGUCCACGCCGUAAACGAUGGAUACUAGGUGCAGCGGGUAUCGACCCCUGCUGUGCCGUAGCUAACGCGUUAAGUAUCCCGCCUGGGGAGUACGGCCGCAAGGCUAAAACUCAAAGAAAUUGACGGGGGCCCGCACAAGCGGUGGAGCAUGUGGUUUAAUUCGAUGCAACGCGCAGAACCUCACCUGGGCUUGAAAUCCUCUGACAAUCAUAGAGAUAUGACUUUCCUUCUUUGAAGGACAGAGUGACAGGUGCUGCAUGGCUGUCGUCAGCUCGUGUCGUGAGAUGUUGGGUUAAGUCCCGUAACGAGCGCAACCCUUGUCGUUAGUUGCCAUCAUUAAGUUGGGCACUCUAGCGAGACUGCCGGUGUCAAACCGGAGGAAGGUGGGGAUGACGUCAAGUCCUCAUGGCCCUUAUGUCCAGGGCUACACACGUGCUACAAUGGCCGGUACAAAGAGCAGCCAACUUGCAAAAGUGCGCAAAUCUCAAAAAGCC